rnacentral:rRNA from 1 species
CUGGGCUCGAACGGCUUUGGAUCAUCUUUGGAAACAGAGACUUCUCGCAAGAGACCGGAGUCGAGGUGCUGCAUGGCUGUCGUCAGCUCGUGUCGUGAGAUGUUGUGUUAAGUCCCGCAACGAGCGCAACCCUUGUCCUGUGUUGCCACUCCCGUAAGGGAAGCACUCUCAGGAGACCGCCAGCGAUAAGUUGGAGGAAGGUGGGGAUGAUGUCAAGUCAUCAUGGCCUUUAUGUCCAGGGCUACACACGUGCUACAAUGGACGGUACAAAGCGCUGCAAACCCGCGAGGGGGAGCCAAUCGCAAAAAACCGUUCUCAGUUCGGAUCGCAGGCUGCAACCCGCCUGCGUGAAGCUGGAAUCGCUAGUAAUGGCGUAUCAGAACGAUGCCGUGAAUACGUUCCC